rnacentral:ribozyme from 1 species
UUACCACGGAGGCAAUCUCGUCUCCGAUGGGUUUGUCUAUGCGAUCCCGGCCAGCGCUCCUCGCGUCAUGAAAAUAGA